GACGAACGCUGGCGGCGUGCUUAACACAUGCCAGUCGAACGCUGAAGCUCAGCUUUUGUUGGGUGGAUGAGUGGCGAACGGGUGAGUAACACGUGAGUAACCUGCCCCCUUCUUUGGGAUAACGCCCGGAAACGGGUGCUAAUACUGGAUAUUCACUGGUCUUCGCAUGGGGGUUGGUGGAAAGGGUUUUUCUGGUGGGGGAUGGGCUCGCGGCCUAUCAGCUUGUUGGUGGGGUGAUGGCCUACCAAGGCGUUGACGGGUAGCCGGCCUGAGAGGGUGACCGGUCACAUUGGGACGGAGAUACGGCCCAGACUCCUACGGGAGGCAGCAGUGGGGAAUAUUGCACAAUGGGCGCAAGCGUGAUGCAGCGACGCCGCGUGAGGGAUGGAGGCCUUCGGGUUGUGAACCUCUUUCGCUCAUGGUCAAGCCGCAACAAUGGUUGUGGUGAGGGUAGUGGGUAAAGAAGCGCCGGCUAACUACGUG
rnacentral:rRNA from 1 species